rnacentral:rRNA from 1 species
GACGAAGGGGGCUAGCGUUGUUCGGAAUUACUGGGCGUAAAGCGAGUGUAGGUGGUUGUCCAAGUCGGGUGUGAAAGCCCUCAGCUCAACUGAGGAAGUGCGCCCGAAACUGCGGAGCUUGAGUGCCGGAGAGGGUGGCGGAAUUCCCCAAGUAGAGGUGAAAUUCGUAGAUAUGGGGAGGAACACCGGUGGCGAAGGCGGCCACCUGGACGGUAACUGACGCUGAGACGCGAAAGCGUGGGGAGCAAACAGG